rnacentral:rRNA from 2 species
UAGGGAAUCUUCGGCAAUGGACGAAAGUCUGACCGAGCAACGCCGCGUGAGUGAAGAAGGUUUCGGAUCGUAAAACUCUGUUGUUAGAGAAGAACAAGGACGUUAGUAACUGAACGUCCCCUGACGGUAUCUAACCAGAAAGCCACGGCUAACUACGUGCCAGCAGCCGCGGUAAUACGUAGGUGGCAAGCGUUGUCCGGAUUUAUUGGGCGUAAAGCGAGCGCAGGCGGUUUCUUAAGUCUGAUGUGAAAGCCCCCGGCUCAACCGGGGAGGGUCAUUGGAAACUGGGAGACUUGAGUGCAGAAGAGGAGAGUGGAAUUCCAUGUGUAGCGGUGAAAUGCGUAGAUAUAUGGAGGAACACCAGUGGCGAAGGCGGCUCUCUGGUCUGUAACUGACGCUGAGGCUCGAAAGCGUGGGGAGCAAACAGG